ACUGGGGUGGCAGAGCAUGGUAAUUGCAAAAGGUCUAAGCCCUUUCACUCGGAGGUUCAAAUCCUCCCCCUAGUU
rnacentral:tRNA from 1 species